ACGGCUCAGUAACACGUGGAUAACCUACCCAAUAGUCCGGGAUAACCCCGGGAAACUGGGGAUAAUACCGGAUAGACCAUCUUGGCUGGAAGGCGGGGUGGUUGAAACUUCCGGGGCUUUUGGAUGGGUCUGCGGCUGAUUAGGUUGUUGCCGGUGUAACGUACCGUCAAGCCUGUAAUCAGUACGGGUUGUGGGAGCAAGAGCCCGGAGAUGGAUUCUGAGACACGAAUCCAGGCCCUACGGGGCGCAGCAGGCGCGAAAACUCUACAAUGCAGGCAACUGCGAUAGGGGAACAUCGAGUGGCGUCCAUAUUGGAUGUCUGUCCACCCGCCUAAAAAGCGGGUGUUAGCAAGGGCCGGGCAAGACCGGUGCCAGCCGCCGCGGUAAUACCGGCGGCUCGAGUGGUGGCCGAUAUUAUUGAGUCUAAAGGGUCCGUAGCCGGCUUUGCAAGUCUCUCGGGAAAUCCAGCGGCUUGACCGUUGGUCGUCCGGGGGGUACUACAUUGCUUGGGACUGGGAGAGGUAGGAGGUACUCAGGGGGUAGGAGUGAAAUCCUGUAAUCCUUUGGGGACCACCGGUGGCGAAGGCGUCCUACCAGAACAGGUCCGACGGUGAGGGACGAAAGCUAGGGGCACGAACCGGAUUAGAUACCCGGGUAGUCCUAGCCGUAAACGAUGCUCGCUAGGUGUCACAACAGUCGUGAACUGUUGUGGUGCCGUAGGGAAGCCGUGAAGCGAGCCACUUGGGAAGUACGACCGCAAGGUUGAAGCUUAAAGGAAUUGGCGGGGGAGCAC
rnacentral:rRNA from 1 species